GCCUCUUGAGUUUUAGAGGUUUUUUCUGCUCGGUGUUGUUUAACAGCCGCGGUAAUUUGACCGUGCAAAGGUAGCAUAAUCAUUUGCCUUGUAAUUGAGGGCUAGAAUGAAUGAAUUAACAAAGGCUUUUCUUUAUUUUUGAAAAUUAGAUAACUUUCUUUCUUAGUGAAGAAGCUAGGAUCUGAAAGGGGACAAGAAGACCCUUUUGAGCUUUACUGAUAUUCUUCUUGUUUGAUGUUAGUUUGGUUGGGGCGACCGAGGAAUAUCUUCCUUUGCUAUUUUGAUCCACGGUUUGUGAUUAAAAGAAUAAGUUACCAAAGGGAUAACAGCGUAAUCCUUUUUGAGAGCUCUUAUUAAAAAAGGGGAUUGCGACCUCGAUGUUGACUUAUAGCUUCCUUCUAGUGCAGCCGCUGUAAGGGUUGGUCUGUUCGACCUUUAAAGCUUU
rnacentral:rRNA from 1 species